CAUAGUCCUAAGAUUAAGAAAGUUUCUUAUGCAAGCAUCGUAGAGAGAGGGCAUGUGGUGAAAGCUCUUAUGUAAGAUAAGAAAUUGACACUUAUGAGGAAUUAUCAGGAAAUGGAUAAUCGUAUCUCGGCGUUAACGAAAAAAGAGCACUUAAUAAGUGAAGUAAGGUGGCACCGCGUUUUUAACGUCCUUAUC
rnacentral:ncRNA from 1 species